rnacentral:misc_RNA from 1 species
AAAAAAAAAAAGAAUUAUCCUUAUAAUUUUCUUUCAAAUUCAAAAGAAAAAUGAAGUGAAAAUAUUAAAAUCUCUAUUCCAUCCGCUAACCAUUUAAACAUUUCUCUACUGCUUUAUGAAAUGAUUUCAUAAACUUCAUAAAAGAGCUUUGGCAGAGAUAUCAGACGUCAAGCACAUAGAAGCAAAAUGCAAGAAUCCCUCAAGCAAUUAAAUAGCUAAUAAGCAGAAAAGUCUUGAGCAAAUUUACAUAUACAUAUAUUCACAAACUUGUU